rnacentral:autocatalytically_spliced_intron from 1 species
GAAGUUACAAAUUCUUUUGUUAGCCGAAGUCCCUGGGAAGGGAUACCAAAGAAGGUGAAAGUCCUGUAGGCGAAAACAAAAGAACUUCCUAGUAUGUGUCCUUAAAUACCCCGACGAACGAAAGCUUCGGGGGAAGCAUCCUGAACUAUCAGGAAAGACUAAAUACAUUUAGUGAUCGAUAGCGAACUAGUACCGUGAGGGAAAGGUGAAAAGCAGGCCGGCGAGGCCGAUGAAAUAAAACCUGAAACCAUAUGUCUACAAGGAACGGAAGUCCCAUGA